AUUCCAUGAUGGGGACAUUCUAGGAUGUAGUCUUGAAAGCGCUCCCAUGCUUCUGGAACAGAUUCAUCAUUUUGUUGCUGAAAACAUAUAAUCUUCCCACGGAGAGC
rnacentral:snoRNA from 1 species